CAGCCGCCACGGUAAUACGUAGGUGGCAAGCGUUGUCCGGAAUUAUUGGGCGUAAAGGGCUCGCAGGCGGUUUCUUAAGUCUGAUGUGAAAGCCCCCGGCUCAACCGGGGAGGGUCAUUGGAAACUGGGAAACUUGAGUGCAGAAGAGGAGAGUGGAAUUCCACGUGUAGCGGUGAAAUGCGUAGAGAUGUGGAGGAACACCAGUGGCGAAGGCGACUCUCUGGUCUGUAACUGACGCUGAGGAGCGAAAGCGUGGGGAGCGAACAGGAUUAGAUACCCGAGUAGUCCCUGUCUCUUAUAA
rnacentral:rRNA from 1 species